UCAUCCGAUGACUGAAAUUUUAAGUGUGGGUCUUUUAAACCCAUUAUAGUAGCUCCUACUUCCGAUGAU
rnacentral:tRNA from 1 species